ACUCCUACGGGAGGCUGCAGUGGGGAAUCUUCCGCAAUGGGCGAAAGCCUGACGGAGCAACGCCGCGUGAGUGACGAAGGCCCUUGGGUCGUAAAACUCUGUCUUCAGGGAAGAAAAAAAUGACGGUACCUGAGGAGGAAGCCCCGGCUAACUACGUGCCAGCAGCCGCGGUAAAACGUAGGGGGCGAGCGUUGUCCGGAAUUACUGGGCGUAAAGGGCGUGUAGGCGGUUCGCGAAGUCAGGAGUGAAAACUCGGGGCUCAACCUCGAGAUUGCUUUUGAAACCAGCGGGCUUGAGUGCAGGAGAGGAAAGUGGAAUUCCCAGUGUAGCGGUGAAAUGCGUAGAUAUUGGGAGGAACACCAGUGGCGAAAGCGGCUUUCUGGCCUGUAACUGACGCUGAGGCGCGAAAGCGUGGGGAGCAAACAGGAUUAGAUACCCUGGUAGUCCACGCCGUAAACGAUGGGCGCUAAGUGUUGGGGGUAUCGACCCCCUCAGUGCUGUAGUUAACGCAAUAAGCACCCCGCCUGGGGAGUACGGUCGCAAGACUGAAACUCAAAGGAAUUGACGGGGGCCCGCACAAGCGGUGGAGCAUGUGGUUUAAUUCGACGCAACGCGAAGAACCUUACCAGGGAUUGACAUCCCCUGACCGGGCAUGAAAGUGUCC
rnacentral:rRNA from 1 species